CAGCAGCCGCGGGAAUACGUAGGGUGCGAGCGUUAAUCGGAAUUACUGGGCGUAAAGCGUGCGCAGGCGGUUCGUUAAGACAGAUGUGAAAUCCCCGGGCUUAACCUGGGAACUGCAUUUGUGACUGACGGGCUAGAGUAUGGCAGAGGGGGGUAGAAUUCCACGUGUAGCAGUGAAAUGCGUAGAGAUGUGGAGGAAUACCGAUGGCGAAGGCAGCCCCCUGGGCCAAUACUGACGCUCAUGCACGAAAGCGUGGGGAGCAAACAGGAUUAGAUACCCCAGUAGUCCCUGUCUCUUAUAU
rnacentral:rRNA from 1 species